ACAGGAUUGUGGAUACAGUUGAGAGAGGAGGGGUUCUGGCCGUGUUUUCCAGGGAUCAGAUAAAGAGAUUACAUGAUGAUCUGAUUAAUGGAAACAUGCGUUCCAACAGAUUGUACCUCUUGAGAAUCCAUCUACCUCUCUCAGGCUUAAACAGCACCUUAAACUAAGGGCGCUGAAUUUAAGUGACCAGCGGAUCUUUGAGCUUCUGAGGGUGAUAGAGGAGGUCAUGGGUCUAGGAGCCAGGAUAAGGAAAGAAGAGAUCAAGCUUCUAGACUUCGUGUUUGAUGUCAUGCUCCCAGAGAUCCUGAUCAGCAUCCUGGACGAUGAAGGACUGACCCGGCUACAAGCUGAGUUAUUAAUGGCUAGAGGGAGACUUUUUUAAGUGUAAACCUCCAUUUUGUUUAUUCAUUUUUCGUUUUUGACUCCUAAUUUUGGAAUAUUCUUUUUUAUUUGCUCAUCAUUUUUGUUAAAGCUUCUACCUUUUGUCCUUAUUCUUAAAAGAUUUAAUAAAGUUAAUUGCAAAUAUGA